UGUGGAGCUAGGAAGAAGAAAAGAGCUCUCCUCACACAGUGUAGUAUGUAUGGAUGCACUGGUGUGAGCGUUCUUUUUUCUCUUUGAAUGCUUUCUUCUUGCACUAUGUUAUUUGGUGGUGGAUGAUUACUAUGUUACUUGUUUCACUGGAAUGUUAGGCUUUCAGUUGAGAAUCAUUUCAUGGUUUGUAUUUCCAGAUCUAUUCAUUUCUGAAGAUUUUUAUACGAUCUAUUAUAACAUUUGGUGCUUUCUUUUUUCUUUACAUUUUUCAUGGCUGAAUCUACUACUAGAUUUAAGGAUCUUACAGCCAAAAUGGACACAAUAUUAGCAGUUAUGGAUCAGCAUGAGGAACGUAUUAUUAGCUACUAGAGCAAUCUUUUGCCACUAUUUUUAAAUAUAUUGAAAACCAUAAGGCUCAAUCUUCAAACAUUAAUGCUAUGCAGCAGCCACUAUCUCAACCUGUCUCUGAUUUAGCCUCUCCCACAAAACCACGCAAUGCUAUUCCCUUGCCAUUUCAGAUUGACUUUCCAAGGUUUGAUGGUUCUUCAAACCCCUUGCACUGGAUGGAUAUUCAAGGCGGAACAAUUCUUUGACUUGUAUGAUAUUACCGAUCCUGAUCGAGUGAAUAUCGCGGCUAUUCAUAUGAUAUGGAGGGUGAGGUGAUUCCUUGGUUUCAGUUGUGGGAGAAAUGUGAGGAGUUUGUUUCAUGGUCUUCCUUGGCUAAAGCACUGAAACUUGCUUAUGGUCCUUCUCUUUUUGAGUCUCCAAGAUAUGCUUUGUUCAAGCUACAACAGAAGGAUACUGUUUCCAAUUACUAUUUCUCAUUCAUUGAUCUUGCCAGUCAGGUUGAGAGAUUAUCUUCUGCGGCUUUAGUUGAUUGCUUUGUCAGUGGACUUGAGAGGGAAAUCCAGAGGGAUGUCAUUCUAUGGCAGCCGGAAUCUCUUACAAAAGCAGUGGACUUGGCGAAGUUUUUUGAAGAAAAAUACCAGCUUCAUACACAGCCUCAUACUUCUUAAAUCAAGUAUAUUUUUUAUUAUCAAAUUGUGAUCGUUUUCUAAUGUUAAGUUCCGAUUAAUGUCAAUGUCAUAGAGAAUGCAUUGGCGGAACUUGAGAGGUUACUCCUCAUAUAUGAAGCUUCAAGGGAUUGGUUGGUGAGGUUUUGCCUGCGGGCUUUUGAUUCCACAUCCUUUCAACUGAAUUGGGAUCUGGGCAAUAUGUUAUUUCAUAGUGUUGCUGAGAUUUUUUUUGCUGGAAAGUACUCAUUGAUGUAAUUCUGUGAUGAUGAUUGUCUGCUAGCCUGCUCUUGGCCAAACCAAAGUAGAUCUUUUAUUUUUGAGUUGCUCAUUUUGUUUGAUUUUUCUGGAAAUGGGACUUGCUUUGUUUUUUCAAACUCAUAAUGCAAAACAGAUGAGCUUCUACUUGGAACAGUUCGCCCCUCUGUUAUUAUUAGAAAAUGAAUGAGCUCAAAUGCAAAGGAGCUUGAUUGCCUCUAACAAUUUGGCUCUAUGUUGGAAUUUAGAUGAAUCCUGCCAUAUUUCAAAACUUCAUGUAUGGCAAAUUGUUUCACGCUGGGGAGACAUGCUACCAUUAUAAGGAUAUUGAUGAUGUGAUCAUAUGUAGGCAUGCACCAUGUUACUUAACUAGAUUUCCAACAAUAGGUUCAGUCGCAUCUGUUGUUGUUAUGCUUGUACUUUUUCCAGCUGAUCCACCGAUAAUGGCAUACACUUGCCACAAAAGGACAAUGCAGACAACCUAAUGCAGAUAAUUCUUUCAACAAUUUUUUAUGUUUUUUUUUUAUGGCAGUCUACAAUCGGUGGAGAGACAGACACCAAUGUGUGUUGCCACUAUUGAGUUCGUUGAUCCAUGGGCACCUGUGAUGGUUGCCAGACAAGUUUCCUGAGGGAUCUCAUGUGAUGAUUGUUGGCUUGCAAUUGGCAUAUUUUAUAUUUCAAUUGAUUUAAUGCUUAUGUCCCUUCCAUCUUAUUUAGCCCAUGGACCACAACCAUUGUUUGUCAGAGGUUUAUCAUCCGGGGAUUGGGAGAUCCAGGAGACGCAGUUUUGGUACUUGAAGUUUGGCGCGUUCUUUUUUGCCGUACUAU